AACGAACGCUGGCGGCAUGCCUAACACAUGCAAGUCGAACGAUUGCCUUCGGGUGAUAGUGGCGCACGGGUGCGUAACGCGUGGGAAUCUGCCCUUAGGUUCGGAAUAACAGCUGGAAACGGCUGCUAAUACCGGAUGAUAUCGCGAGAUCAAAGAUUUAUCGCCUGAGGAUGCGCCCGCGUUGGAUUAGGUAGUUGGUGGGGUAAAGGCCUACCAAGCCGACGAUCCAUAGCUGGUCUGAGAGGAUGAUCAGCCACACUGGGACUGAGACACGGCCCAGAUUCCUACGGGAGGCAGCAGUGGGGAAUAUUGGACAAUGGGCGCAAGCCUGAUCCAGCAAUGCCGCGUGAGUGAUGAAGGCCCUAGGGUUGUAAAGCUCUUUUACCCGGGAAGAUAAUGACUGUACCGGGAGAAUAAGCCCCGGCUAACUCCGUG
rnacentral:rRNA from 1 species